CAGCUCUCCGAGUGGUAGGGAUGAGUAUUGGGCUUAAAGCGUCCGUAGCCGGCUUAGCAAGUUUCCUGUUAAACCCAGCGACUCAAUCGUUGGAUCGCGGGAAAUACUACUAGGCUAGGAGGCGGGAGAGGUCAACGGUACUUCUGGGGUAGGGGUGAAAUCCUAUAAUCCCGGGAGGACCACCAGUGGCGAAGGCUGUUGACUAGAACGCGCUCGACGGUGAGGGACGAAAGCUGGGGUAGCGAAUCGGAUUAGAUACCCGAGUAGUC
rnacentral:rRNA from 1 species